GAUGAACGCUGGCGGCGUGCCUAAUACAUGCAAGUCGAGCGAACAGAUGAGGAGCUUGCUCCUCUGACGUUAGCGGCGGACGGGUGAGUAACACGUGGAUAACCUACCUAUAAGACUGGGAUAACUUCGGGAAACCGGAGCUAAUAACGGAUAAUAUAUUGAACCGCAUGGUUCAAUAGUGAAAGACGGUUUUGCUGUCACUUAUAGAUGGAUCCGCGCCGCAUUAGCUAGUUGGUAAGGUAACGGCUUACCAAGGCGACGAUGCGUAGCCGACCUGAGAGGGUGAUCGGCCACACUGGAACUGAGACACGGUCCAGACUCCUACGGGAGGCAGCAGUAGGGAAUCUUCCGCAAAGGGCGAAAGCCUGACGGAGCAACGCCGCGUGAGUGAUGAAGGUCUUCGGAUCGUAAAACUCUGUUAUUAGGGAAGAACAAAUGUGUAAGUAACUAUGCACGUCUUGACGGUACCUAAUCAGAAAGCCACGGCUAACUACGUG
rnacentral:rRNA from 1 species